UUUUGUUGCCAUAGCUACUUCCAUUACAAGUGGCCUUGACAAAGUCAGGAGGUAUUUGUUUUGAAGCAAAACUACAUGCAGCCUCAGCUGCAGAGUGUUAAAAACCUACAAGCAUAAGAAGAGCCGUGCUGGAUCAGAUCAAAGGUCUUUCCAGCCCAGGAUUCGAUUCCCACGGUGCCCGGCCAGAUGCCCCAUCCCUGCCAGUGAACCACAAGCAGGUCAUCGGCACGAUGGCGCCCUCCCGCUCCCACUCCUCAGCGAAUGGUUCGCAGAGACAUCCUGCCUUGAGUCUGGAGAUUUUCUGAAGAAGGAAAAGGAUGGAAGAAGUGGUGGGAAAACACAGAAAGUUAUGAGCGGAAGAAGGCAGCAUCUGAGCAUCCCUCACCUGUAAAUUUCCCUGAAUGAGGCAGGGUAAUGGCACCAGAAAAGCAUCAUCUAGAACAGGGCAGUCCAACUUUUCGUACCUUGAGAGUUACCUGAGGAUUUUGAUAUGGAAUCCCAGGGGCCGGACAAUGAAUUACAUUUCCAUAUCAUAAAUUAAAGUGUUUGCAAUAUAUGUAUUUAUUUUAAUAUACACAAUGAAUGUGUUAACCGUUAAACAAGAAUGAAAUAAUUUUAAGAUGAUUUUAGGAUUAAUUGUAUUAAAAAUGCUUUCUGGGCCUGUGAUCUCUGCAGAGGCCGCAGGCAUCUCCUUCUCCGACCACAGCCCAAGCACAAUGGAGUGGCCCAUCCCUUUCUUCCCUGUGUCUCCCGCCCAGAAACACCCCCAUGUGACCCCUUGGCCCCUCCUUCCUUCCUGGCAUUGGCAGGCCGAGCCUCUUGUACUUGAGCCAGGAAACUCCCCCUAGCGUGCCCCGCCUGCUCCUGCUGAUGAGGGCCAAGGCGCUCAGCACCUGUGUGCUAGUCAGCUGGAGCGGAGGCCACCAGCCCAACCCACUGUCUUCCUGAACAUCGGCCUGCUGCAGUCAUGCCCAUGCCAUUGCUGGGAUCUGGACUGGGGGGAAUGGGGCACUCCAAGCAGCAAGAGGGCCGCAUGCUGGACGACCCAAAUCUAGAGGCAUUCUGAAGGCUGAUUCAACCACAUGUUACAUCCCUUGGUUAAGAAAUGCUGACUUUGCUACUACCAUGCAUGACUUGGUGACCUCCAGUUUAGAUUACUGCAAGGCACUUGAAGUGGGGCUGCCCUUGAUGUGUACUCAGAGACCAUAGUUGGUCCAGGAUGUGUGGACAAGGUUAUUGACUUUAUCUCCUUCAUGCAGCCACCCUGACCAACUUCAGGGCCUUCCAAGUGUCCAUGUACAACUCAAUGUUCUGGUCUUGACCCUACAAAGUCCCAAACGGUUGUAUUUAAAAUGUCCAAGUUUCUAAAGGAAUGCAUGCUCAUGUAUGACCACAUGUGGCCAUCAUGCAUGAAAGCAACUAUGUGAAGCUGUGCUGUGUGUUCCACCUUCUUCGGAGGCUAUUCUGAUAAACACCAGAGACAGGGACUUUUCAGUGCUGGCCCCGAGACUGAUAGCUCUUCCCUCCAGGAACAUCCAUCUUGCACCCUCUUCUUCAGAAAACAGGUUAAAAUAUUUUGCUUGUGAGGAAGAUGGUGGCUAACAAUGUUUACAUUACCCUGAUUUUUUAAAUCUUUGAAUCUUUGAAGUUGAUAAUAUUUUUGUAGUUUUAAGUAUUGUGAUAUGGAUUAUCAGCAAGCUUGGAUGAUCUUUUUUAAGGCAGAUUUUAAUUAUCAGCACCUUUUAUCAAAUUACAUCCUUACAUGGACAGAGAUAGCUGAGGUACAGCUAUCCAAGGUCUGGUAACUUCUCACCUUGAUUAUAGCCAAAUGAAGUGAGGUGGGCGGCUUCUCAGAAGUGGGCCUCUUCAGGUGUGGAAUGAGCUCCCUAGACAAUGUGCUCUUUUUUGGCAUCAGGUGAAUACCUUAAUUUCCCAGGCAUAUUGAUCAUUCACAUUUCUGUUGUUUUACAUCACAAUUUUAUUUUAAAUCGUUGCGCUGCUGGGUUUUUGUUUUUUAUUAUUUCAUAUUGUAGCUUAAAAUUUAUAUUUUAUCAUGUAGUAGUUUAUGGUUUUAAUUACUGCGAGCUGCCCAAAAAAUUUGGCUGGCUAUAAGGCAGUAUGGAACUGUAAUAAAUAUUAUUGAUAA